rnacentral:rRNA from 1 species
AACGAACGCUGGCGGCAUGCCUAACACAUGCAGGUCGAACGAGAUCUUCGGGUCUAGUGGCGCACGGGUGCGUAACGCGUGGGAAUCUGCCCUUUGGUUCGGAAUAACAGUUGGAAACGACUGCUAAUACCGGAUGAUGACGAAAGUCCAAAGAUUUAUCGCCAGAGGAUGAGCCCGCGUAGGAUUAGCUAGUUGGUGUGGUAAAGGCGCACCAAGGCGGCGAUCCUUAGCUGGUCUGAGAGGAUGAUCAGCCACACUGGGACUGAGACACGGCCCAGACUCCUACGGGAGGCAGCAGUGGGGAAUAUUGGACAAUGGGCGAAAGCCUGAUCCGGCAAUGCCGCGUGAGUGAUGAAGGCCUUAGGGUUGUAAAGCUCUUUUACCCGGGAUGAUAAUGACAGUACCGGGAGAAUAAGCUCCGGCUAACUCCGUGCCAGCAGCCGCCGUAA